GAGACUUAGUUGACUCCGGGGUUCGUAUAGGCAGGGAGCACAGGCGUAAGGCUGAGAUCGGCUUCCCUAGAGCCUUUCAAACUGGAUGGACCUGCACUUGUUGCUUAAAUGUCUUGAGGCCUGUGUUUCCACAUCUGGGAAAUGGGGAAAUUGUGGUGUUUGCUGUGAAGCUUCCUCAUUGGCUGAUGAACUCAUCUGGUGUUCCUAAGACCAACACCUUCAGUCCCAUUUCACAAAGUCCAAAUCACAAAGGAGGAAACUAUUUAUUUGAUGAAUGCUGUAUUGAAGGAGGCUCUUCUUCCCUUUAUACCUCACGAUGGUCCAAAGAAGACCAGAUACAGAAGAAAAAGAUUCAAGGAGAAGGCCUCUGUAAGACACAGUCAAAGUGCUAUUUAAGGAUAAGCCCGUAAUCAAAUGCUCCAUACCAUCUGUUUGAGAGUUUUUUGAGACUGGGAUCACUGUCUGGAACCACAGGCCGCCCUCUGAAGGCUGGAGAGGUGGUGACAGCUGAACAAAUGAUGGCGCUACGAGUCCAUGGGUUAGGUUACCUGGGCAUGGGAAUCCCCAUAUAGCCAAUGCCUUCUCGGGUAUUAAGUGUCAGAUAAACACAGCUCCUCAACUGCUACCCUGUGAA
rnacentral:lncRNA from 1 species